rnacentral:lncRNA from 1 species
UAAUUUGAAAUAAAAGAAUCUAAAUCUCUAAUGUAAAACAUGUAAAUGGUUCAACCAGAAUGGUUGCCUUGGUCUUGAUCUUGGGUGUAGUUGGCUGAGCAUGAAUGAACCCCUGGCUGGAUGGGGUGUAUGGCUGAGUUUCUCAAUGGGCUGAAUGGUUUGAUGAAGUGAUUUGAGUAGUUGGCUCUCCCUUGAUUGUAGCCGUACAAGCCUUGGUGAGUUGAACUCAUCUUUUAUUUGAAUUUCGUUCAACCUCUUCACUCUAUCUUCUUCCAUGGUUUAAGCUAUCCUUUCCAUUUAAUAAUUAAUCUUCUUUGACUUGGUGUGGCCGAAUUUGAUUGAGAAGAUAAUGUAUAGAUUAGGCUGUUGUGGCUUAUUUGAAAAGAUUAUGUUUGUUGGCAGCAACAAAUCUAUUUUCACUUUACUCCUUGAUUAUAAUCACCCCAUCUAUUUCAAAUUCAAGUUGCUGGCCAAAACAAACCUAUCUUCUUUCAAAUUCGUUUUCCCUCCAUGCCUUAUCUCCUUG